rnacentral:rRNA from 1 species
ACGAACGCUGGCGGCAUGCCUAACACAUGCAAGUCGAACGAGACCUUCGGGUCUAGUGGCGCACGGGUGCGUAACGCGUGGGAACCUGCCCUUAGGUUCGGAAUAACUGCCCGAAAGGGGUGCUAAUACCGGAUAAUGUCUUCGGACCAAAGAUUUAUCGCCUUUGGAUGGGCCCGCGUUGGAUUAGCUAGUUGGUAGGGUAAAAGCCUACCAAGGCGACGAUCCAUAGCUGGUCUGAGAGGAUGAUCAGCCACACUGGGACUGAGACACGGCCCAGACUCCUACGGGAGGCAGCAGUGGGGAAUAUUGGACAAUGGGCGAAAGCCUGAUCCAGCAAUGCCGCGUGAGUGAUGAAGGCCUUAGGGUUGUAAAGCUCUUUUACCCGGGAUGAUAAUGACAGUACCGGGAGAAUAAGCUCCGGCUAACUCCGUG